rnacentral:lncRNA from 1 species
AUGGAAGUAGUGAAAACCUUGGCUUGCUCCCAGUCGAAGGAACGUUUGUGUAGUGAAUAUGCAAUUUAUGAAGCAUUUGGAACCUGGAGAGUUCUGCCUUGGACAUUAGGAACAAAAAACAAAAAAAAAACAAAACAAAAACAAAACCAAAAAAAAAAAAAAAAACGUAAAAAUGAAGUAAAGAAGCUCAGAAUUCCUUGUAAUGAUAGAGACCAGUGCUGCUUCUGCUCCGUGUUGCCUGCUCCAGACAGAGGCACCAGAAUUCAAUUCCUGUGUGUCACUCUUUGUCAUGAGGAGCUGAUCAAAGUCAUAGAGUUCAGAGAGCCUUCUGAGGAACAGUUGUGUCUGGAGACCUAA